GACGAACGCUGGCGGCGUGCCUAACACAUGCAAGUCGAACGGGGUUGACCUUGGGUCAACUUAGUGGCGAACGGGUGAGUAACGCGUGAGAAACCUGCCUCUCAGUGGGGGACAACAGUUGGAAACGACUGCUAAUACCGCAUAACACUUUAGUACCGCAUGGUACAGAAGUCAAAGCUUUAUGUGCUGAGAGAUGGUCUCGCGUCUGAUUAGCUAGUUGGCGGGGUAAGGCCCACCAAGGCGACGAUCAGUAGCCGGUCUGAGAGGAUGAACGGCCACAUUGGGACUGAGAUACGGCCCAGACUCCUACGGAGGCAGCAGUGGGGGAAUAUUGGGCAAUGGGCGAAAGCCUGACCCAGCGACGCCGCGUGCGGG
rnacentral:rRNA from 1 species